UUGCUUCUCCGCUUCGGGCGGUAAAAAAGCUGGAGCUGGCCCUGACUGGGAGCCCUGCAGAAUUGGUUUUGGUGUCUCUUAAAGCAUUCCAAAAGUUGGCAACCCUGGAAGUACCGUUCUUCCCACUGAAGGAGGAAAACUGGAACUGGUCCCCAUGCCCCCCGCGAUGGACUCUUCUUCCUCACUUUAUCUGCCUCACCUUGGCUGUGUCAUCACUCCCUGUUCAUAGCCACUCCCUGCAAUCCAAGGGAAGCUGCUGAUUCACAUCUCUAAGGAGUUCUUCAGCAAAACAGUAAAGCAAAGACCUGGCAUUUUUGAUAUUUCUAAG